rnacentral:tRNA from 1 species
GGCCGGGUGGCGAAAUUGGUAGACGCGCCGGACUCAAAAUCCGGUUCCAGCGAUGGAGUAAGGGUUCGAGUCCCUUCCCGGCUACCA